rnacentral:rRNA from 1 species
CCUCCCGGCCUCCGGGUCGGGAUCAAGGUCGGCGCGCUCCGCUUUGGUGACUCUGGAUAACUCACUGGUCGAUCGCACGGGCCUCGCGCCCGGCGACGGGUCCCCCGAGGNU